rnacentral:lncRNA from 1 species
GCUGUUGUCGUCAGUCAACUGUUCGCGUUGUGUGAGUGAGAAAGUGCGUUGCUGCGCUCGCUAGGAAAAAUUAAUUAUCCUCAUUAAUGGAAUUCUAAAAGUUGACUGAAGGAUAAUGGUGUACAGAGGAGAGAAGUGAAGCGUAGUGCUAAGUCCGGCUACAAUCUACAUCGGCUGAUACGUCGCCAAGGUCGUGUUUACCCCCUCCGGCAGAUGAUGGCGGACGUGGACCCGGAAACGCUGCUGGAAUGGCUACAGAUGGGACAGGGCGAGGAGCGCGACAUGCAGCUCAUCGCCCUCGAGCAGCUGUGCAUGUUGCUCCUCAUGUCCGAUAACGUCGACAGGUGCUUUGAAAGGUACGUGGAUGGUUUUUUGGUU